rnacentral:lncRNA from 1 species
UUCGCGUAGCACAUACAUACAUAAUUCUCUGCCCCCGAGCAGUCCCAUGAAUAUUAUUACAUCAUUACAUGAGUGUUCAUACAAUAUUACGGACCAAAAGGGGAGAAUUAAACUAAAGAAAAAGAAUAAUGUAGUCCCUCUCAACCCCGAGCGACUCUUCAAUUCCCAAACCUGUAACACAAUGAACCUGUAACACAAUGACAUAGCAUGGCAAGCACAAAGAAACGAACGAAACUAUUGCGGCAUAAUUUCAAACACACAAAAAAAAAUCAAACAAUGACAUAGCAAACAAAAGAGUUUGAUACAUAAAAAUGACCUUAAACUUGACACCUAAUUAUAACUUUGACCUUAAACUUUGAUAGUGCACAAAUAGGACCUUUAACUAUUCAAAAUCUGAACAAAUAUAACCUCCGAUUUUGCAACCCAUGCGUGAGUCUCACUCGCGCCUAUGUGGAAAGGUAAUCCAAUCACACGGUGCCACAUCGUUAAAAGGGCUGACUUGGAGAGAAAACAUAUUUAUGCAAUUUUGAAAAGUUAAAGGUCAUAUUUGUGCACUGUCAAAGUUUUGUUUUUUUGUAUUAAAACGUCAUCGUUGUCGUUGUUGUUAUUAUUAAUUAUUAUUUUAUUUAUUUAUUUCUAUAACAGCGGCACCUAACUUUUUUUAAUUAAAAAAAAAGCGAAAUCAAACCCGCACAGUAAGUUGAAGGAAGCGCCCAAGAAAAGCAAAUAACACAACUGCUAUCUAAGUGUCUUGUUUCAUGUGGUUCAACAUUAAUAUAUGUACAUAAAUAUACAUUUUCUAUCUUAUAUAUAUACAGCAUAAUUUUUUUACCGAGAGAGUUCGGAUGAACCCAUGGAGAUCCGCCCCUCGUUAAUUUAAUAACAUUUUAAUAACGUUAAUUUAAUAAUAUUUUAAUUACGUUAAUUUAAUAAUAUUUUAAUUAUGUUAAUUUGAUAAUAUUUUAAUUACGUUAAUUUGAUAACGUUAAUUUAAUAUAAUACUACUACUAACCUUAAUAACAUUAAUUUAAUGUUUUAUUAAAACUAUAAUUUUUUUAUUAUUAGUAUAGUUUCAUCUUUAAUUUAAUAUUUAAAUAAAUAAUAUUUAAAUAUAUUAUAUAACUUAAAUUCGUCAUCUGUUUUAUAAUAUAUAUAUACAUACCCUCUCAAUUUUUCACAUGAAGCUAACCCGCCUAAUUAAUAAAUCUUCAAUAUUGCUCUUUUUCCACAAUGACAAAAGAAAUUAAAUAUCAUUUUCAUCUUUGAGCCGAAAAUAAUGAAAAAAUAAUAGUGAAGUGCAUUUUUGAAUAGCUAAAGAUCACAUUUAUGCACUGUCAAAGUUAAGAUCAUAUUUAUGUAUUAUGUCCUUAGAUUUUAAGUUGAAUGCGCCCAAUUUUACAUGUUAAACACGCGUAUUGUCACGUAGGAUUAAAGGUCAUAUUUGUGCAGAUUUGAAUAAUUAAAGGUCAUAUUUGUGCACUGUCAAAAUUUAAGGUCAAAAUUAUAAUUUGGUGUCAAGUUUAGGUCAUUUUUAUGUAUUAACUCCAAAUAAAACAUCAAACAAUUUCCAUGAACAUGCUUUCUAGUCUCAUCACAUAAUAUAUUGAAUUGCAUCGAUAAGAAACUUACCAAUUGAAGAUUACCAAUAGUAAUAGGAAAAUGAAGCAGCACAAAGUUAAAGUAUGAACCGUUGCAGGUGAAGUCAAGACCAAUUCUCCAAUAUUAAAUGCAAAUUUAAAAUAUUUAAGUGAUUUUGUUAUCUAAAGAAUAUUUAAAGCUUUUUCGUGCAAUGUGUGUGAAGAGUUGAUAAAAAUGUAGAGUGUCUGUUACUAUAGUGUGAGAGCUUGUCCCUUUGAAAAAUAAGGGGUUCUUUAUAUAGCCAAGUAGUGUAAGAUUAUAAAAAUAGCAAAACAAUAUUCUCGUCAAUCAAUUAAGUGAAAAUUUCUCUUAAACGAAUAACUGAGACCAAUCACAUACACAACUGCUAUCUAAGUGUCUUGUUUCAUGUGGUUCAACAUUAAUAUAUGUACAUAAAUAUACAUUUUCUAUCUUAUAUAUAUACAGCAUAAUUUUUUUACCGAGAGGGUUCGGAUGAACCCAUGGAGAUCCGCCCCUCGUUAAUUUAAUAACAUUUUAAUAACGUUAAUUUAAUAACAUUUUAAUUACGUUAAUUUAAUAAUAUUUUAAUUACGUUAAUUUAAUAAUAUUUUAAUUACGUUAAUUUGAUAAUAUUUUAAUUACGUUAAUUUAAUAACGUUAAUUUAAUAUAAUACUACUACUAACCUUAAUAACAUUAAUUUAAUAUUUUAUUAAAACUAUAAUUUUUUUAUUAUUAAUAUAAUUUCAUCUUUAAUUUAAUAUUUAAAUAAAUAAUAUUUAAAUAUAUUAUAUAACUUAAAUUCGUCAUCUGUUUUAUAAUAUAUAUAUACAUACCCUCUCAAUUUUUCACAUGAAGCUAACCCGCCUAAUUAAUAAAUCUUCAAUAUUGCUCUUUUUCCACAAUGACAAAAGAAAUUAAAUAUCAUUUUCAUCUUUGAGCCGAAAAUAAUGAAAAAAUAAUAGUGAAGUGCAUUUUUGAAUAGCUAAAGAUCACAUUUAUGCACCGUCAAAGUUUAAGAUCAUAUUUAUGUAUUAUGUCCUUAAAUUUUAAGUUGAAUGCGCCCAGUUUUGCAUGUUGAACACGCGUAUUGUCACGUAGGAUUAAAGGUCAUAUUUGUGCAGAUUUGAAUAGUUAAAGGUCAUAUUUGUGCACUGUCAAAAUUUAAGGUCAAAAUUAUAAUUUGGUGUCAAGUUUAGGUCAUUUUUAUGUAUUAACUCCAAAUAAAACAUCAAACAAUUUCCAUGAACAUGCUUUCUAGUCUCAUCACAUAAUAUAUUGAAUUGCAUCGAUAAGAAACUUACCAAUUGAAGAUUACCAAUAGUAAUAGGAAAAUGAAGCAGCACAAAGUUAAAGUAUGAACCGUUGCAGGUGAAGUCAAGACCAAUUCUCCAAUAUUAAAUGCAAAUUUAAAAUAUUUAAGUGAUUUUGUUUUCUAAAGAAUAUUUAAAGCUUUUUCGUGCAAUGUGUGUGAAGAGUUGAUAAAAAUGUAGAGUCUGUUACUAUAGUGUGAGAGCUUGGUCCCUUUGAAAAAUAAGGGGUUCUUUAUAUAGCCAAGUAGUGUAAGAUUAUAAAAAUAGCAAAACAAUAUUCUUGUCAAUCAAUUAAGUGAAAAUUUCUCUUAAACGAAUAACUGAGACCAAUCACAUACAAAUCACAGUUCAGAGAAUAAAAAGGAAAACUAAUAUUUAGAAGUAUCAUCAACAAUAUUAUUUUCGUUAUUUAGCUAGACGAAAUCAAUUAGAAGCAAAUUUGCCAUAAAUAAGUAAAAAAAAUCAGUUCAACUUUUAAAGGAAACCAAGAAGUGGGUAAAGCAAAGCACCAAUCAACUAUAAUAUCAUUCAUUUAUUUUUUCCUCAAACAAAUAGACAAAAAGAUCUGUCAGCAAGUCAAUUUCAUAUAAUUUAAGCUAAUUAGUAUGGAGAAAAAAUCUAAUUUCUCAUAACUUUCCCAAAAUCUAGCAAACUAAUUUAAAUCAUAUUAUAAUUAGCUACCAAAACAACACACAUAAGAAUGACCACCACAAUUCAAAUACGGUGAGACGAAAGACAGACAAAUCAGAAUUGAGAACUUUGUAAUUAAAAGUAGAAUUAGGGUUCCAAAGCAACUUAGGAAACUUAAGCUCUGCGCGUAUGUCGACCUAAAGGUGUUUAAAACUAUGAAAUUGAAACAUGCAGACAAUCAAUUAUGUUCAAGACAUUUACGAAUUUCACGACUCAAAAUUUGUCUAAGAAAGGUGACAAAUAAGCACAGUUUUGCAAUCAUUACAUAUAGAGAUGAAUUUGAAAUAAAAUCAGCAAAAGAACCUUGAAAUUACAUAACUGUUGUUACUGACGUCUCCACCGGUCAUCAACUCCGGUGAAGACGGCGUUGGAGGUCAUCGCUGGUUCGGGCUUUUCCGUCGUCUGGCAGCAGCAAUGGAGGUUUCAAGGCAGCGAUGGCUAUUUUGACGGAAACGAGAGAGAAGACAGAGGUGGCCGGCUGGCGGCGGCUUCUUUGACUGGUGGCUGGUUAGGAGAUCGUCGGUGGAAGGCGGAGUUGGAGUGGGAAGACGCUGGUGGUUUUUGGCUGUUCUAGCGGGAGGUUCACCAGUGACGGAGGGAGAUCAAGGGGAGAGAGGUGACGGGUGGAGGCUGUCCGUUGUUGUGGUGAUUUAUCGGAGAGGGAGGGACAGUGGAGACCGGAGCGGCGCUGGCGCUAAAUCACCGGUUGGUGUUGACGGCGGAGGGUGGCUUUGCAUGGUUGGUUUGGCGGACUGGUCGCGGAGAUGGCGGGGUGAGGCACAGAGGUUGGCGACGGCGGCGCUGGCUCAAGAUUUUCCGGAGGAGGAGGACGAGAGGGGGAAUAGGGUGAGGGAAGGCUCGCCGGCCCUGGGAUGGCCGGCGGCAGCCAUAGACGCCGAUGGAGAGGAGAGGAGAGGAGAGGAGUAGAGAGCGAAGAGACGUAGAGAGAGAGAGUUAGAGAGAGGAAGGAGGCGCAUGUUUUUA